rnacentral:rRNA from 1 species
UACAUGGGGUGCAAACGUUGCUCGGAAUCAUUGGGCGUAAAGCGCGCGUAGGCGGUUACUUAAGUCGAAUGUGAAAGCCCUCGGCUUAACUGAGGAAGUGCAUCCGAAACUGAGUAGCUAGAGUACGAAAGAGGGUCGCGGAAUUCCCGGUGUAGAGGUGAAAUUCGUAGAUAUCGGGAGGAACACCGGUGGCGAAGGCGGCGACCUGGGUCGACACUGACGCUGAGGCGCGAAAGCGUGGGGAGCAAACAGG